UCAUGGGAAGGGCAGAGAACUUUACAGCUGUAAAACCACCUGUUGUAAGAAAGCAAAGUACUGUUCUGGAACAGCCACAGCUGAUGUGCUGAGGCGUAGGGAAACAUUUUCUAUAUUUUAUUCUAUCAGACAGGGGCCUAUUUCACAACUUCCCUCUGUUUCUGUGCCUUCAAUCCAUUUCAGUGAAACCUGUCUCCCAGGACAUCCCUUUCCCAAAGAAGGCAACCAAGUAUCGGCAGUGAGAAUUGCCUCUGAAUUUACUUUGGUGAAUUCCAUCAAUAAAAAGUGGUGUGAGGACUGUCUGUAACAAGUUUCUCAACGGUAAAGUAAACUUGUGAUGAUCAUGCCCAAAUACAGAGUAACCAAAUGACUUUCCUGUUUUGUACAUACAUCAUUACCAGUGGCUAACAGUAGGAGGGAUGCUCCAGCCAUCUGAGCGUCCUCAUGGCCCUCCUCUGGACUGACUACAACAGGCCCAUGUCCUUCUCAUGCUGAAUGCACUACAUCAGAACCCAAAAAUAAGUGCAGAUUUAGAGAAUCCUGGAAUUAUCAGCGGAGUCCAAAGCCAGCAUUUGUUACAAUCAAUUCGGAGGUGGUCAAGCACAUAUUCAUCAGCAGAAAUAAGCAUUC